rnacentral:tRNA from 1 species
GGAGCUGUGACUCAGUGGCAGAGCAUCUGCCUUUCAUGCAGAAGGGCCCCGGUUUGAUCCCCGGCAACUCCA